rnacentral:rRNA from 1 species
UACGUAGGGUGCAAGCGUUUAAUCGGAAUUACUGGGCGUAAAGCGUGCGCAGGCGGUUUUGUAAGUCUGACGUGAAAUCCCCGGGCUCAACCUGGGAAUUGCGUUGGAGACUGCAAGGCUGGAGUCUGGCAGAGGGGGGUAGAAUUCCACGUGUAGCAGUGAAAUGCGUAGAGAUGUGGAGGAACACCGAUGGCGAAGGCAGCCCCCCUGGGUCAAGACUGACGCUCAUGCACGAA